rnacentral:lncRNA from 1 species
AGCAACAUGGAUGCAGCUGGAGGCCAUCUUCCACUCAGUGUUUAGCUCCUGCUUAUAAGCAAGAACAUGUGGUAUUUGCUUAAGUAAAUUAAUGCAAGAACAGACAAGCAAAUACCACAUGUUCUCCCUUAUAGGCAGGAGCUAAACAAUGAAUACAUGAACAGAAAGAUGGGAACAGUAGACUCUGGGCACUACUAACUGGGGAGAGAGAGAGAUGAGGGUUGAAAAUUACCUAUUGGGCACCAUGCCCACUACCUGGGUGACAGGAUCAUUCCUUCCCCAAAUGCCAGCAACACACAAUAUACCCAUGUAACAAACCUACACAUGUACCCUCUGAAUCCAAAAUAAAACUUGAAAAAAUAGGCCAAGUGUGUUGGCUCAUGCCUAUAAUCCCAGCACUUUGGGAGGCCGAGGCGGGCAGAUCACGAGGUCAGGAGAUCAAGACCAUCCUGGCCAACAUGGUGAAACCCCAUCCCUACUAAAAUACAAAAAAUUAGCCAGGCAUGGUGGUGCGCAGCUACUAGGGAGGCUGACACAGGGGAACCACUCGAACUUGGAGGCAGAGAUUGCAGUGAGCCAAGAUCACGCCACUACACUCCAGCCCAUUGACAGAAUGAGACUCCAUCUCAAAAAAAAAAAAAAAAAAAAAGGCAAAAAAACUUAAAAAAAUAAGUAAAUAGAAUAAAAUAAAAACAAACCAAAACAAAUGUUGAUUGUAAUAAUUAAAAGACAAAAAUAUCUUUCACUUUUCUCUGUAGAGAAAUGUCACAUGAGUUAUUCAAAGAAAACAGCUAGAUGAAAGGAAAACAAUACUACAGAGUAGUAUCUGCUCCUGUUAUUCCAGUUGAGGAGAGACCAUAUCACAUUCUAGAGAUGGCUGCAUGCAAGCAUUUGAAACCUUUGAGAGAAUACAGUGCACCCUGGAGACUAUUAUUAUGACUAUUGGGAGAAUAAUAUCAAGAGUUUGGAAUAUGCUCCUUCCUCAGGAUCCCCAUAAAACAAACCUCCUAAAAUCAAAUGGAUCAAAUAAUGAGCUAGAUAAAGAAUGUACUCACUUGACUAAGCAAUUUCUUCAUCACUCCUCUACCACUGAAUUUCUAUAAUCUUCAUUUGAUGUAUUUCUCUAUAGGCCACAAGUGCCAGCAGCUGCACAGAUACUUCUCUGUUUAGCGAAUUUUGUCAUAACUUUCACAAGAAAAUUUAGAGUCUAUUCUGUAACUGUAGCCUUUACAGUAGAAUCUGCCAUAGAGCCUGUCAUGAGGGAUUAAAUUUCUAGUCAUUGCAUAGUUUACUUUAAA